rnacentral:rRNA from 1 species
ACGAACCGUACAAACGUUAUUCGGAAUCACUGGGCUUAAAGGGUGCGUAGGCGGCCCGGCAAGUUGGGUGUGAAAUCCCUCGGCUCAACCGAGGAAUUGCGCCCAAAACUGCCGGACUUGAGGGAGACAGAGGUGAGCGGAACUUGCGGUGGAGCGGUGAAAUGCGUUGAUAUCGCAAGGAACACCAGUGGCGAAAGCGGCUCACUGGGUCUCUUCUGACGCUGAGGCACGAAAGCUAGGGGAGCGAACGGG